CAGCGGGCAAAGCGGAGGAGGCAGCAGUAUGCCUCAAAAAACAGGCAGCCAAAAAAGAAAGGAAAAGAAAAUAAGAGAGGAGAAGGAGUUGAAGGGUCGACAAUAUGUCACCCAAUAUUUCCCAAAAAAAGAGUCAAGUGCACCAGCAGCAGCAGCAGCUGUCUGUCAGCCCCCAAGUCCCCCUGCCCCUGAAUCAGCCCCAGUGCCCCCACAUGAGGAAGGAGGCUGACGCGUCGGGUAGAGGACUGGGAGCUGUUUUGUAGGCGCGGCCGGACGGCUUACCGGCCUGCGUCUAGCGGUGGACGUAUGUGGAGGGGGGCGUGGCCUGCGAGCCUGGAGCGGAACGGGGUGUGCCAGGACCGGCCUCGAAGUCAGCGACAGGUGCGUAGAUGGCCCAGGUGGACCUUGUUAUCUAAUCACCUGUCGCUCUGUUUAAGCAGCAGCCGGGAGAAGAGACAUGGUUGGAGCUGGCGUGAGAG